rnacentral:lncRNA from 1 species
UAAAAGAUUCUUCAGCUGAUCUUGUUGUUUCAUCAUUACUAUUUUCAUCAAAUUGUUUUUUUCUACGGAUCACACGUUUUUCACGAAAUAUAGGUUCUAUUUCCAUUUCAUUUGCAAUUUCUUUAGAUGAAUUCAAAGCAUUCAUGAAUCCAUUUUCCCUAUAACUUUUCAAAUAAGAAAGAAGAUUUUUUAAUUGAUCUAUAGCAACAUCAAUAUGCAUGUCUUCAGAUUGUAAGUUCUUACUAACUGAAUUAACAGCAAACAAUAUAUCGUACCAUAUAUUCAUGCCUAACAAGAAUUCAAAAUUUUCAAUCUCAUAUGUAGCUAAACAUAUAGCCUCACUCUUUAUUUUAGGAUCUUCACUAGUUUCCGCUAAUUGAACUAAUGCAUCUCUUAUUUUAGGAGCUUGAUGUUUAAUUGCUUUGACACUUUCAAUACGACUUUCCCAACGUGUCUGUGACAAAGGUUUAAGAGUUAAUGUAGAUACAUUAUCUUGUAAAAUUUUCCAUCGUUUUGUAGAAGAAGAAAAUAAGGUAUAAAUUCGUUGUAUUACUCCAAAAAAAGAUAUAGCCUUAGGACAUGAGUUAGCAGUAUCACAUAAUACUAAAUUUAAGUUAUGGCAUCCACAUGGUGUG